CCUACCAUGCCCACCACGCGGCCUUGCACUUCCAGGCCCUGGGCACGGCCCUUCUGCUCACCCGCCCUCCUUGUCCCGGCCCAGGGGGCCGCGGGCGCUGGACCCGGCCUGGCGCGCCUCGAAGUCGGCCGCGGAGGUCAGGGGACGCUGCCUUUCCACUAGCAGACGGACCCAUGCGGACCCCAGCCCGUGCCCCAGCCUCCCCGCCUGUCACAUGCCCAGAAUCCUGGGGCAGAAAUAGGCCUGCCCACCCAUCUGCAAAGACAGCAGAAUCCUCAUCAAUAAGGAUCCCCAGAGUGGUCCCUUAGUGCUUAGCAUGGGCUGCAUCCCUCCCUCCACCAGUGUCCUCAACCAGCCUCUGUCCCUUUCCAGAUUCUGACCUCAAAAUCAGCUUGAAGGGGAGAGGACAGGGAAAUUCUUUUCCUGGAUGGGUCUGUCCCUGUUCUAAUGCUAGGAAAUGGAAAGCCAGCAUCAAUGCCUUCUUUACCACCCUGCACUCAAAGGUGGAAGCAAAAACGCCAACUCAGAAAAGCCAGUCGCUGCUGCUGUCAGGAGCCUGAAAUCCACCUCAACAGUGGGCCGCUGCUCAAGUCCCUAUCACCAUUGCAGUACCAGGUCCCACCACCCUAUCACCAUUCCUCUCAUGGAGUCUCAAACCAGGGAGGGGAAAUAAUAUCUAAGAGGAGUGGAGGAGCAGAAUCCUUCCCCAAACCUGCGGACUCCUGGAAUGGAGAAAGGGAAGGCCCUGGCGUUUCAGGAGAUGCCUGGGGAGUCGUGUUUCCUGUGUUAGGGAGACCUGGAUGACAUGCCUCAGCUUCUGCUCGCAAGCCCCCUCCCAUGACCUCUCCAACAGCCUGUAGGGAAAUCCCUUGCAAAUAAAUAGUAUACAGACUAAGCAACCAACUACUGUGUGGAAUGGUGAACAGGGAGGGCAGUGAAUCACCAGGUACUAUGGGAAGACUAGAGCUAGGCCAGACUCUGGAAAGAAUUUGUUGACAGUCAUUGGA
rnacentral:lncRNA from 1 species